GAUGAACGCUGGCGGCGUGCCUAAUACAUGCAAGUCGAGCGAACAGACGAGGAGCUUGCUCCUCUGACGUUAGCGGCGGACGGGUGAGUAACACGUGGAUAACCUACCUAUAAGACUGGGAUAACUUCGGGAAACCGGAGCUAAUACCGGAUAAUAUAUUGAACCGCAUGGUUCAAUAGUGAAAGACGGUUUUGCUGUCACUUAUAGAUGGAUCCGCGCCGCAUUAGCUAGUUGGUAAGGUAACGGCUUACCAAGGCAACGAUGCGUAGCCGACCUGAGAGGGGGACAGGCAAACGGGGAAAGGAGAAAGGGGCAAGAGACAUAUGGGAGGAAGAGGUGGGGAAGGUGAAGAAAGGGGGGAAAGCGUAACGGAUAAACGCAGGGGGAGUGAUGAAGGGAUGCGGAUAGUAAAACUCUGGUAGGAGGGAAGAAAAAAUGUGUCAGUAACGAUGAACGUAGGGACGGUAAGAAAAAAGAAAGCCAAGGAUAAAUAAGG
rnacentral:rRNA from 1 species